rnacentral:SRP_RNA from 1 species
GCCAGGCAGGGUGGCGCGUGCCUGUAGUCCCCGCUACUCGGGAGGCUGAGGUGGGAGGAUCACUUGAACCCAGAAGUUCUGGGCUGUAGUGCGCUAUGCCGAUUGGGUGUCCGCACUAAGUUCAGCAUCAAUAUGGUGACCUCCCAGGAGCAGGGGGCCACCAGGUUGCCUAAGGAGGGGUGAACCGGCCCAGGUCAGAAACGGAGCAGGUCAAAACUCCCGUGCUUAUCAGUAGUCGGAUCACACCUGUGAAUAGCCACUGCACUCCGGCCUGGGCAACAUAGCAAGACCCCAUCUCU